UGUCAAAUUUUACAUGUGGUUUAAACAUCUCUCAUACAAGAAGAACUACAAACUUUCACUGUUUAUGAACGUGAAGAAAGAAUUUAAAGGUGGCGAAAUUAUAUUAACAUGUUACGUCAUUUCAAUUGUUGUCGUCAUUGAUCACGUGAUUAUAUCAUGGUAAACGUGGAUCAAUUCAUACCUGUUGUGGAUUACAUUAUGGUUGUCGUUGAUUGACAUCAUCAGCAUCAUUUGUCGUGGAUUUUGUCAAAUCAAUCUUGGGUUAAUUAGUUGAGGAUUACGUUCAUCUACGAAUAAAAACUAAAGACGACGUUUCAGGUGGUCGAGUGUUGGACACAAGAAGGAUUGGUUGGCACGCCGUUUGGUAAUGUAUAAGGGCCCAGGGAGGCGGUUUUCCAUCCCUUAGGUUCCCUCUCGGCUCGGAUACUAACGUUGCUUUACAGGUGUCUCAUCGUUCAAAGGUUUGUUUUAAUCAGUUUUGUGCAGCGUAGUUGGUAGGUAGAUUUUUAAAUCGGUUAUUUCAUGCCACUGAUUAACAGGGUUAGCUAUAAGGAUGCACAUAAGCAAAAAAUAGCACAGCUGAAAGCGGCCUAAAAAUGGCGUUAAGCCGCAGUUUCGGUUUUUUAAGGAUGCACAUUGCCUAAGUCGCCUCUUUCAACGGAGGAUUGCUAUGGAUCGAGUGCUGGUAGAAGAUGUAUGUUGAACACUUUCUGCUGAACAAGCAUAUAUUGUGCGCAAUGAAUAAAAUAGGACUAUCCUUGUUUUGUAAGUUACAACACAACACAUCUUCAAUGAAGUAAAUCGUCUGUUAUUAUAAAAUAUAUACAUUAUCACGAGAAUUUUAAUCACUACUUGUAUGCAAAGAUCGCAGGAUCAAGACACUCGGCAACAUUUUACUCCGCCGACCACAAUUUAAAUGUUCUGUCGAAUGAACUGGACGCUAUGUAGUGACCAUCUAUACAUAAAGAAAUGGAAGUCAAUAUCAACAUAAUUAAAAUUAAAAAUACGCAUAAGUGACAGUUGAGAAAAAAACUAUCAUGCUGCACAUCGUCAAGGAAAAUAAUAAAGAUAUGGAAAAUAAGUUUUGAUUUUACCUGGAGAAAGAUCAACACAAGAGACUUUUUGUUCGUGUCCAGCCAAAGUUUUUAACGGUAUCCAACCUGGAUGUGUCCAUACCUUCACUUUACAAUCAUAAGAUCCAGUUAGUAAAUAUUGAUCUACAAAGUAAUUGACAAUACAUAAAAUGAAUAUGUAAAAUAAACUUUGCUUGCGGUAAAAUAAAUGCAAUCAUAUUUUGUUCAAUACGAA